GCGCGACACAAACACCGUUCCAUGUGAUGAUUGAAAAUCAUCGUGUCACCAGUUCAAAU
rnacentral:tRNA from 1 species